UCCAAUUAUUUAAGAAAAUCGAGUAAGGAUAUUGUUGGUGUCCUUAACUCAAGAAUUUAGUUUUCAAUUAUUUAUUUACUAAAUUUUGAAAACCCGGCUAAGUGAAUCAUAGAAUGUUAAGCACUACACCAUGACUUAAGAUUAGAUUCAAGGAGACCUAUUAAGAAUAGAAUUUCUUGUAGGCUUUGUGGACCAAGGGGAUUAGCACUGCUUUCCCAAGACAGGUUUAUAUGUGAUUAUGAUCUUCAGGCUUUGCCUAUCCAGGUUGGCUGGCCGGUGCUGACGGGACGGAGCUGAGGCUAGUGAUAAAUUCUUAUGUUAGACUUCCGCUGUAGCAAUUACUCAUAUUAGUCUUUUGUUUUCCCAACUUAAGAUCUUCAUGUUAAAUUUCAAAUGAUAUAUUUGACCGAACUUAGGCUCUUCACUACUAAAUUUAUGCAAAUGAAUGUCGGUUGUCAGAAGCAUGAAACAAAACUUGUGAUCCAAAGGGGCAUAGCCCGACUUUCUAUCCUAUUUCGGGUUUUAACAAGGUUUUUCCCUUGUUUAUUUCCAUGAAUUAUUUAUA